AGAGUUUGAUCAUGGCUCAGAUUGAACGCUGGCGGCAGGCCUAACACAUGCAAGUCGAACGGUAACAGGAUGUGCUUGCACAUCGCUGACGAGUGGCGGACGGGUGAGUAAUGCUUGGGAACAUGCCUUUGUGAGGGGGAUAACAGUUGGAAACGACUGCUAAUACCGCAUAACGUCUUUGGACCAAAGGGGGCUUAGGCUCUCGCGCAAAGAGUGGCCCAAGUGAGAUUAGCUAGUUGGUGAGGUAAAGGCUCACCAAGGCGACGAUCUCUAGCUGUUCUGAGAGGAAGAUCAGCCACACUGGGACUGAGACACGGCCCAGACUCCUACGGGAGGCAGCAGUGGGGAAUAUUGCACAAUGGGGGGAACCCUGAUGCAGCCAUGCCGCGUGUGUGAAGAAGGCCUUCGGGUUGUAAAGCACUUUCAGUUGUGAGGAAAAGUUAGUAGUUAAUACCUGCUAACCGUGACGUUAGCAACAGAAGAAGUACCGGCUAACUCCGUGCCAGCAGCCGCGGUAAUACGGAGGGUGCGAGCGUUAAUCGGAAUUACUGGGCGUAAAGCGCACGCAGGCGGUUAUUUAAGCUAGAAGUGAAAGCCCCGGGCUCAACCUGGGAAGGCCUUUUAGAACUGGAUGACUAGAGUCUUGGAG
rnacentral:rRNA from 1 species